ensembl:snoRNA Snord49a small nucleolar RNA, C/D box 49A
UGCUGUGAUGAGGACACCAGUAGGAAGUGCCGUCAGAGUCGAUAACUGACGAUAACUUCUCCCCGACUGACU